AUUGGCACUAUGAGGAGUAAAUCGACUCGUUGGAUGAGAUCAAUCGAUCGCUGAAAUUCAUUUUAUCAUUGAAAAGUCCUUUUCAUUCUGAGUGCCUU
rfam:Spinacia oleracea cultivar SynViroflay scaffold39361.con0005.1, whole genome shotgun sequence.